rnacentral:lncRNA from 10 species
GAGACAGAAUGUCAGUUUUGAAAUAUAGGAGUUCGAGAUUAGAAACCUAAUACUUUUGUUAUGAAUUAUGCUAAAACGGUAAAAAAAUUUUCAAAAUAUAGUUGUCUCAAAUACACUCUUCUCAGAUAACAGAAGGCCAGGCAAGGGCACUGACUUGAAGGGAAACAAACCACAGUAAUAUGACUGCCUGAAAGUAACUAUGGAAUUCAGUUUCUCAAAGUGAUUACUUCUUCUAAUCUUCAUAUUGAUGACUCACUAGUACAUUUACUUUGAUGGGUUUAAUCAACUCUGAUAACAUAGUUCCAAACACUUAAAAGGACCUGAUUUAUGUAUUAAAUAAAGGUUAAUUUGUUCUUGAGAAAUUGACAAAAGAUUUGGUCAAACGUAAAUGAAUAUGCAAUAAGUCACAUAAGUCUGUGUGUAUAUACAUAUAUGACUUUAAUUUUAUAAGUGCAUGUGUAUACGCACACCUUUAGCUCAUUUAAAUAAAAAGCUAUCCAAUGUUUUAUGUCCAUUAUGUCCCCCGUUAACAUUGAGCAAAAUGUUAACCCCUACUAUAUAUGCAAGGGAAAUAAAUUAAGUUGUUAUAUAGAAACCCUUGACACUAUAUGCAAUUUCUUAUGUCCCAUAUUCUGAUAAUAUCUGUCCUCUUGGCUCUUACUUCUUGGAAUUUCUCAUAAACACGGAAGCUUCAUGACAAAUUGUGUAAAUCAUCAUUUCCUCCUUUAUGAAGUAUAUUGAAGACAAAAGGGAUUAAAGUCAUUUCACAUUUAGCAAAGCUAUUUUAUGGCAACAUUGUUACAACACAAAAUAGACAUUGCAGUUUACAAUUAACAAUUACACAGUGAUUUCAUAACAAUACUACUUACUCCAAUUAACAAAAUAUUUCUUUAUAAAAAAUAUGUUCAAAAGGAGGUUUACAUUCACUUCUUCGUUUAAUAUCAAGGUUGUUAACAAUGGUCUUAGGAGAUGCAAAGACGAAAAACUACUUACCUUAAAAAUCUGUAUUCUUGAAGAUAUAUACUCCACUUGAAUAAGAUACUGCUCAAGGUUUAGGCUUCCUGGAGAACUCAGAGGAUUUUGUAGUUGUACUUAAUAUACUCAAUAGCCAAAUUUCCUAAACUUUCAUAAUUUUGCUAACCAAGGGCCCUUAACAAAGUUAAAAGACACCACAGGGUUCAAAAGUGAACAAAUAUGUUGUUUUUGUUUUAAGACGGAGUCUCAUUCUUGUCACCUAGGCUGGAGUGCAGUGGCGCAAUCUCUGCUCACUGCAACCUCCAUCUCCCGGGUUUAAGUGAUUCUCACACCUCAGCCUUCCGAGUAGCUGGGAUUACAGGCGCGCGCCACCAAGCCCAGCUAAUUUUUACAUUUUUAGUAGAAAUGGGGUUUCACCAUGUUGGCCACGCUGGUCUCAAACUCCUGACCUCAAGAGAUCCGCCCGCCUCGGCCUCCCAAAGUGCUGGGAUUACAGGCAUGCGCCACUGUGCCUGGUCACAAAUAUGUUAAUGAGCCAAUUAAGAUGGUGCUGCUCAAAUGAUUCUAAUUCAGGAAACUUAGGUUGCAGCUAGGUAAUCUCUAGUUCUCUAAAGAAUAAUACCCAAAUGACAGGAUUUAUGUGUUGAUGCAAUAAUAGCUCAGUCUGUUUCAUGACCUAGCUAGAGUCAGAAUUGGAGCGGUGGCUAUAGCACAGGGGUGGCUUUCUCCUCUCUGAAGGAAAAGUAAAGAAGUAAGAAGAAAGAGGUUGAAAGAACAGCCUACACAGUUGUUGCCCAGAUCUCAAAAUUAGCAACAAGUAUGUCAGCUGUCCUAAUUAUUACCAAACAGGUCCUGGGAGUGUCUGACACACAACAUAAUAUAGGUGCAAUCAGUUCCAGAAUCUGGUUCCUGGAUCUGAACUAAUUUAGCUAUAAGACCUUCAGCAAGACCAUCUCUAUGGCCUGCAUCUCUCUCCUAUAGGUUUGACAAAGAUUCACCUAUGAGUUUGAUGAAGACAGGCUAGGUAUGGCCCUCAAUAAGAAUUUAUUCUGACUGGGAGAUUUAAAACUGUAAAUAGAGAUUCCUACCAGGAAAACUUUGAUGGGUGUUUUUCAAGUGUCAUCUCACAGCAGAAGAUGCCCCAAGUGGUCAAACCUUGCCAACAGCUUCAAAAAAAGGUAACUAGGAUUUAACUUUACGGUGCAUUUUGAUGUUUCCCUUUGUGUCAUAUCUGAUGAUAAAAGAACCUUAAAAAAAAAAAAAAAAAACACUAUCCAGCUUCUCCAUUCUGUCUCCUGCUUUACUUUCUCUUGUUUACAAAAUACAAAUUUAUAGCUGGAUUUGAUGCUGAAAAUUUAAUACAGUUACCUCAUGUCACAGAUAAAGAACAGAAAUGACUUGACCAAGUUCAC